AAAUCUGGUUGAUCCUGCCAGAGGCGACCGCUUUUGGAGUUCGAUUAAGCCAUGCGAGUAGAAAGAAAUUAGAUUCUUUGCAAACUGCUCAGUAACACGUGGAUAACCUGCCCUAUGCUCCGGAAUAACCUCGGGAAACUGAGAAUAAUACCGGAUAGAUCACAACGCCUGGAACGGUGUGUGGUUCAAAGGUCACGGCAUAGGAUGGGUCUGCGGCGUAUCAGGUCGUAGGGGGUGUAACGGACCUCCUAGCCAUCGACGCGUACGGGUGUUGGGAGACAUAGCCCGGAGAUGGAUUCUGAGACACGAAUCCAGACCCUACGGGGUGCAGCAGGCGCGAAAACUUCACACUGCAGGAAACUGUGAUGAGGGAACUCCAAGUGACUGCACAUUGUGUAGCCUUUUCUUUACUAUUAAUCGGUAUUGGAAUAAGGGCUGGGAAAGACCGGUGCCAGCCGCCGCGGUAAUACCGGCAGCUCAAGUGGUCGUCGCUUUUAUUGGGCCUAAAACGUCCGUAGCCUGUUUGGUAAAUCUGUGGGUAAAUCAACCAGCUUAACUGGUUGAAUUCUGCAGAGACUGCCAGACUAGGGACCGGGAGAGGUGUGGGGUACUCUAGGGGUAGGGGUAAAAUCCUGUCAUCCUUAGAGGACCACCAGUUGCGAAGGCGCCACACUGGAACGGAUCCGACGGUCAGGGACGAAGCCUAGGGGCACGAACCGGAUUAGAUACCCGGGUAGUCCUAGGUGUAAACGCUGUGAACUUGGUGUCGGGGAUCC
rnacentral:rRNA from 2 species